CAAGAGUUUCCAUGUUUUCUUUAAAGAAAAGUAUAUGGUAGAAGAAAGAAAAAAACUAAUCAACCAUUUCAAGAUAUAAAGUUGUACCUCUUAUCAAAACGACAUCAAUAAGUUAUGUGUCUGUUCAAGACAUCUAACAUGUCAUAAUUUUCUUAAGAUUAUCCUAACAAAUUAAGGAAUUUUCAACCCCACAAUUUAGGCAUAAGUAAACACACCAACCUUUUAAUCAUUAAGUUAGGGUGGAAACCGGAUUGCUUGAAAUCGAAAAUUUGAGUGUUGUUGGUACAUUUGUUAGAUUUUAUACGGUUUUUGAUUUUUUUUUUUUUUUAAAUACAUAAAUAAAGAGUUUGAAAUUUAGACCGUCCAAUCUUAUUCAACAACCACAAAUGUAGUGAUGACAUCAAUGCAUCAAGUUGUCGACCGAAGACAAUCCUAAUUAGUUAGAGUGAUUUUUACAACACAAAAAUAUAAUUUCCAUCAAAGGGAUUGAACUACAACAUGGUUAAUUAUUAUGAUAGUAUAUAGUUGAAUUUAAGAAAUGAAAUAUAAUAUGAAGGGAAUACUAUUACUCAUAUAACAAUUAGAUGCCAAAGAUACAAAGAAUAUGUGGGUAUACACUUUUCUUUGCAUUAUGAAAGCAAUCUAAAUGGCUCACUCUUGGACAAAAGUCUCAAAGAAAUUAUUCCAAAGAGAAUAUUUGCUUUAAUGGUGUAAUCAAUUAUAUCAAUAUCCAAGAUAAGAAGAGUUAAAAGAAAGAAAAUUUCACCAAAAAAUAAAAAAGAAAAGAAGAAAAAGGAAAAGGAAGAAUAUAAUGGCAAACACCAUAUCUUAAAAAGCCAAUUCGAUCAAGUCUUUCUUUCAGAUUUCUUGGGUUGCGGUCUAGAAAUGGAUCACAAGAAUCAAAAUUCAAUGAUUGGUCUUCAAAACACUGCCACUACAACACCGUGUAUUCCCAGCUACUCUGCCUCAACUGUUGAACAAAAUAGAAAUGAUUUCCAACUCUAAGAACAUCAUAUUACCACAUUUAGCAUAAGCAAGAAAGACAUUAAAAAGCUUAAAAUAAUGUCUACACAACAAAGAAUUGUAUUUUUAAUACAUGAGAUUGAUUAUAUAGAUGAAAUGAUGUUAUAGCAUUUAGAUAAGGACAUAGGUGAAAUAAUAUUAUGGUAUUAGAUGAUGACAU
rnacentral:lncRNA from 1 species